rnacentral:rRNA from 1 species
AGAAUCAACGCUGGCGGCGUGCCUAACACAUGCAAGUCGAACGAGAAAGUGGAGCAAUCCAUGAGUAAAGUGGCGCACGGGUGAGUAACACGUGACUAACCUACCUUUUAGUGGGGGAUAACCUAGGGAAACCUGGGCUAAUACCGCAUAACACUUACGAGUCAAAGCAGCAAUGCGCUGAAAGAGGGGGUCGCGGCCGAUUAGCUAGUUGGCGGGGUAAUGGCCCACCAAGGCAGUGAUCGGUAUCCGGCCUGAGAGGGCGCACGGACACACUGGAACUGAAACACGGUCCAGACUCCUACGGGAGGCAGCAGUGGGGAAUUUUGCGCAAUGGGGGAAACCCUGACGCAGCAACGCCGCGUGGAGGAUGAAGUCCCGUUGGGACCGUAAACUCCUUUCGAUCGGGACGAUAAUGACGGUACCGGAAGAAGAGCCCGGCUAACUUCGCGCCAGCAGCCGC